rnacentral:pre_miRNA from 1 species
CAAAUACUCCCUCCGCCCGGAAAUACUUGUCAUCAAAAUGGAUAAAAGGAAAUGUAUCUAGACGUAUUUUAGUUUUAGAUACAUCUCUUUUUAUCCAUUUUGAAGACAAGUAUUUUCGGACGGAGGGAGUAUUUA